GAUUUUUUGAUAGAGGUGAAUCAAGCUUCAAACUCUGGGUUUAUAAAACUGCUCUGGCUAUGUACGUCCUUCAAAACCUUCUGGUUUCAUUGGUCGGCUCAACGUACGUAGCGUAUAAAAUCACAACGGUUUCGGAACUUGAUAUAAAGAUGGACAAACAGAAUCUACAUGGAGCGAAGUCGGUCGUGGAUUUGAUUUUGUUAAUAACCAACAACGCACUUCGUUAUUUUAUCGCAGAAUUUUUCCUGUCUAAGUUGUUUAAUGAAGAUUUGGAUAUACUGGGAGGGAACUCAGGGAAGACUAUUGAAGAAAGUAUCGGUGUACGCAUCCAACGAGGAUGGGAUGAUGAUCAUGUAUUUGAUGGAAUAGACCCUUAACUCUUGUACCAUGCUAUAGGAGAUUUUAAUCGACAGACAAUAGACCAUAUGUAUAAAGAGGUCAGAAGGCUUGAUGGCCGGGAAGAAUGCUGGUCUUAGUAGUCAUCGCCUGGAAUAUUAAUUUAAACAAUUCAAAAUGGCCACUAUCGAAAUUUUCCCGGGCGAUGACUACUAAAGGCAAUUUUCCAUUGCAGUCACUUUACCCGCGCGGGCGGAGCGAGCUUUGAAAAUCUGCUCACGCGGGCAUGUUGUGCGUCAAAAACAAAAAACGCUUCCCCCGUGCGGGCAAAGUGAAGGUUAACGGAAAACGGCCUUAAACCAGUAUUCUUUGCGGGCAUCAAGCCUUGUGACGACACUAUGCAUAAGGUCAAUUGGCGCGAAGUAGUGUACAUACUCGCCAGUUACAUAUUAUACUGUUCUACUUUUAAAAUGUCUGCGAUGGCAAUUCCUUUAAUUAUAUAGAAUCAGAAGGAAUUAUUAUACCUGAACGUGGAAAAAGCAUUCAUUACAAAUAGGCCUACAAAUCGUUCCCAGAUUGUAUUAAUUAACAGAACUCAUUCCUCCUCCAAACUUGUUAUCUCUGGAGCACCCGAGGGAUCUAUUCUAGGUUCAGUUUUAUUUCUGCUAUACAUAAAUGAUAUUUCUAGCAAUAUUCAAUCAAGUCUAAGUGUCUUCGCUGAUGACUCUCUUCGCUGAGACCACCAUGCAGGAUCAUCAAAUUCUACAAAACGAAAUAGACUGUCUAUCAUCUUGGGCCGAUUGCUGGCAGAUUAAAUUCAAUAUGUGCAACAAAAUAUUUAGGGGUCACCUUUACUAGUACAUUGCGCUGGAAUGAACACUG